GGAGCUGUCGCAUAGUUGGCUAGUGCGCGAGAUUCAUACCCUCGAGGUCACGGGUUCGAGUCCCGUCAGCUCCU
rfam:Cryptosporidium parvum Iowa II chromosome 3, whole genome shotgun sequence.